UGUAUUUUGGAUAUAGAAAAGCAACAAGCAUCUUUCUGAUUUUUGAUAAAUUAAUAUUUUUAUCGGAUCUACCUGUUCAAAUAUUUUUGGAACAUCCUCAGACCUAAUGAAGGACAUCUACCUGUUCUCAUGUGCGUUAAAUUCAUUUCGGAGUGUCAUAGUUUUGUUUCUUUUAACGCCCUUUUUGUGGACCCAAGAAUAUGAAGGCAACUCCUUUUGUUCAUUAUGCCAGGAACUCAGUGUAUGAUGUUCUGUAUUUCAAAUUUGAUGGACCAUAUCCUUACUAGUAGUCCACUGAUAAGGUCUAGAGGGGCUUUCUAGAUGUUGGCUUUUCAUCAAUCUAAAAAAGAAGCAAAUCAUGUAAUCAAGAUAAGUCUGGCAGUUGACAUUGAUUUGUUUUUGCAAACUUUUUAAUCCGCCGAUUCAUGAUUGCAAUGUCCUUCAUAAUUCAUUGGUUUCCUUUUAAACUCUAUGCACUGGUACAAUUUAUUGAAGUUAGUUGAUCACUUCAAAAAUCGGGGCCUUUACCGCUCUCUUUUCUUGAGGGGAAGAAUCCUUGCACAAAUUUUCUCCUGAAGUUAGAAUAAAGGACCCAACCAUUAGACAUGCUGUUCCACUCCUGCCUCCAAUCACCCUUUUUCAUGGAACUGCAGCUUGUUCUAUACCAUCAACUUCCAGGUCAGAAUUCGAUUUCCUUGUUUUCAACAUGAAUGCCACAUCCUUAUUCCAAAAUGAGGAUAUAUGAAGGAUUCAUGGCUGAAGUACACAAAAAUUGAUAUAAUGUAUAUUUAUCAUUCAUAGGACGAUGGAUGUUUACAAUAUGGUUUUUGUGAUAUAAUGACGAUAUAAUGUAUAUAAUAUGCACACCAAUCCGUCUUGGUAUCAACAUGUCCAGGAAAUAGGAAUAGCAGUUUUUAGGCAAAGAGAUCUAUUUUUUUGGCUAAUGAAUAAUUUAUUUUUACAA